ensembl:rRNA 5S_rRNA 5S ribosomal RNA
GUCUACGGCCAUACCACCCUGAACACGUCCAAUCUCGUCUGAUCUCGGAAGCUAAGCAGGGUUGGGCCUGGUUAGUACUUGGAUGGGAGAACACCUAGGAAUACCAGGUGCUGUAGGCU